rnacentral:rRNA from 1 species
UACGAAGGGGGCUAGAGUUGUUCGGAAUCACUGGGCGUAAAGCGCACGUAGGCGGAUUGUUAAGUCGGGGGUGAACUCCCGAGGCUCAACCUCGGAACUGCCUUUGCUACUGGCGAUCUAGAGUCCGGGAGAGGUGAGUGGACCUGCGAGUGUAGAGGUGAAAUUCGUAGAUAUUCGCAAGAACACCAGUGGCGAAGGCGGCUCACUGGCCCGGAACUGACUUUGAGGUGCGAAAGCGUGGGGAGCAAACAGG